rnacentral:lncRNA from 1 species
CGCUCGUCGCAAAGCUACCGAGUCGCCUAUAUAAAGCAAUCUCCACGCCGUCCUCCGUCCUCGGCACGCUACCGCUCCUGCCGCGCGCGCGCAUGCCCGGCCGUGCUCGCUGCUCCGGCCUACCGGCCUGCCGCCGUGCCCGAGCUAUGCCUCCUCCUUGCUGCCUCCCCCUGUUGCCUCCCGGUGCAAGAAAGAAGAAAAGAAAGCAAGGAGAGAGGGGACGUGAGGGAGAUAGAAAAGAAAGAGAGAGAGGGAGAGGGAGGAGAAUAGAGGAGAAAAGGAAGAGAGAUGGAAGAAAAGGAGGAGAGGUGACAGUGAGAGGACGUGAGAGAGAGUGAAGAAAUAAAAAAGAGAGAAUAGAGAAUAGCAGAGGUACGCUAUGGGAGGAAGAGAGAAGAAAAGAAAGAAAGAAAAGAGAGAAACAAGAGAGGUAGCGUGAGCGAGAGAGAAUAGAAAAAUUAAUAAUAAAUGAGAGUGGAUCGUAUCGAGCUCCUCCUCAUCUAUCCCCUCAGUUAUCAAAAAUAAGUCUAAAUGCACUCUUCUUUUUCUAAAACCCAUUGUUUCUGUUAUAUAUCUAAUAAAUCUAUAUUAGUUUAUAAUAUAUUCUAUGUCUUAUUCUAUCCAAGUCCACAAUACCUCCGCAUAAGACCAGACAUAUGAACCAUGUCUUAUUAACUUCCAAUCUCUCCAAAAGUAUGGUUUAUAUCCCCUCAAGAAUUAUUAUCUUUUAAUAAUUCUUUUUCUGCUUUAGAUAUUCCGUAAACCUUCCAAAAUUCAUAUCUUUUCAACCGUAAGUCCGUUUCCCUCCGUUCAAUUUUCAGAUUGUCUCUAAAAAUAUCUCCUAUCCUAUGGCACUAUUAGUUAAUUAUAAUAUUAUUGUAUUUUAGGUCUUGUUGUGUUGUUUCCCUUUUUACGAUUAGCGGUUGUCGCAGUGUGUUGCUGUUUCGGACUUCGCUGUGAUCGUGGGAGUUCGAGAGCAGCCUUUCAUCAACCUCGAGACCUGUGAGCCUCGUCAACCAAAGACCCAGG